AUUGAACGCUGGCGGCAGGCCUAACACAUGCAAGUCGAGCGGUAGAGAGGUGCUUGCAUCUCUUGAGAGCGGCGGACGGGUGAGUAAUGCCUAGGAAUCUGCCUAGUGGUGGGGGAUAACGUUCGGAAACGGACGCUAAUACCGCAUACGUCCUACGGGAGAAAGCGGGGGAUCUUCGGACCUCGCGCCAUUAGAUGAGCCUAGGUCGGAUUAGCUAGUUGGUGAGGGUAAUGGCUCACCAAGGCGACGAUCCGUAACUGGUCUGAGAGGAUGAUCAGUCACACUGGAACUGAGACACGGUCCGAGACUCCUACGGGAGGCAGCAGUGGGGAAUAUUGGACAAUGGGCGAAGCCUGAUCCAGCCAUGCCGCGUGUGUG
rnacentral:rRNA from 1 species